rnacentral:lncRNA from 1 species
GCAAAGCUACUAUUUACUGAGCAUUUCCCAUAAGGUCAAAAGAACCACUUGGAACACUCAUUCAGCAUACAGAUUCUGAGCCCCUCCCUGAAGAUCUGAUUCACUAGGCUUGGUGUAAAGUCCUGGAACCCAUAGAUUUAACAGGAGCCCUCCACUGGCAUAUAUUAUGGGAAAUAGUUUGGGAAGUAGUGCUUUACAUGAUUUAUGUCAAGUAAUUAUUACAAUUGCUCUCUGAAGCCGCUACCAUGAUUAUCUCAAUUUUACAGAUGAAGAAACCAGCUCAGAGUAUAAGAUAUGGUAUACCUAAGUCAAAUAGUUAAUAAACAGGAGCGCUGCUGACUCUGGCACCCAGGACUGCUUGUCUUCAAAGCCAGGUAGGUGCAAAACCAUUUUACUGUUCUGGUUGGUAGGCAUGGUUGAUCAACAGCUGCAUAGGUUAGCUGGCUGGCUAUUUCCACAUACGCCCUCACUGGGUUAGGGCAUGGGAAGUUGCUUGCAGGGAGUGAGGCAUAGAGGGGAAGAAUGGGAGGUCUGAAGUCUUCUUGGUGAGAUAAUUUAUGGACUCCGAGCUCAAACAGUGCUGCUUUGGGGCCCAGGAGACAAAAUGUGACACCGACAUAGAUCUGGGGCUCUAGAUAGUGGUGAUAUUGAGAGCAUCAGGAGAUGGUACCCUCCGAAGAUCACUGGUGAUUUCAGAAGGGGCAUCUAAGAAUCUCCCUCCGAUGCUACCAGGGCUGUGACAUGGGACAGGGCACCUGAAAUAGGAGAGGGAGAAUAUGAUGGAUGUUGUGUGGUGAUUGUAAAUAAGUGGGUUGUUUUAAGAGCAUAUAA